ensembl:lncRNA DSCAS DSC1/DSC2 antisense RNA
GCACUCCCGCCCCGGCGCACUCCGACCCCGGCGCACUCCCGCCCCGGCGCACCCUGCUCCCCGGCGCGUACCCAGGGGCCACGAUUUUGGCUGGGCGAAAGCGGCCCGCUCCCGCCUCUCCUUGAGUGCGCUGAUUACAUCUACCGGAGACACCUUCCCUUCCCUUGGGGAUCCCAACUCUCAGCUCUUCAGAAAGCAAUGACAAGGCAUCUGACUCAUCCUCCUGCACCUCUUUUCAAUUACUGACUUAAACCAGGUGAUCUAGAAACUCCAGUCCCUCUUCUUCCUGCCGAUCGCUGCAGCAACCUACUGAGCCGGCCAGAGAACCUUUGCCUUCAUAGUUAUACGAACAAACGUAGUCUUCACAAUGUUUAUGCUCCUCAUCUUGUCCACACAAAUACACCUUCUGUAUCAAAAAAGAGCACAUUUUAUUAUUUUUUAAAAAACACCUAAACAUAUUAGCAGAAAAAUGAUGUCUUUGAUUUACCUUUUACUGUUUAAUUUUUAAUCAGAGUGUGUCCUCUAAUGGAUUCCUAUAUAUAAAAAAUGCACAGGAUUGGUCUGUAUUAUAGUCACUCUUAAAAUAUAGCAAAUAAAUAAAUGCUUCUAGUGAGCACAUUUAAAAAAUUAAGACUACGCAUAUAUCACGCAACACAUUUAUAAUUUCCCAUUUGAACACAAAACAUGUAUAUUUGAAAUUUACCUUUGUAGCUUCUUCACGUAUUUGAGGAAAACCAAUAUAGGCUAUGAUUCCUAUGUUUAUACACUACUAUAUAACUGUGAUAGUGUAAUAUAUUAAACUGGCUAAUAUCAAACCUAUACUGAUUAAUCUGAACAUAAAACAAAACAAGGAACUAAAACUCAAAAUAAAAGCUCAACAAUUUAUCUGGUUGAUUUUGAUAGCCAGGACUUCAUAACCACACAAAGAACUCAAGCACACUGAGAAAUGUUUAUAAUUUAUGAUCCAUUCAUUCCUGUAUAAUAAAUAUUUCACUCCA